GUCGUGAGAUGUUGGGUUAAGUCCCGCAACGAGCGCAACCCCUGUCUUCAGUUGCCAACGGGAAAGCCGGGCACUCUGGAGAGACUGCCGACGUUAAGUCGGAGGAAGGUGGGGAUGACGUCAAGUCCCCAUGGCCCUUAUGCCCAGGGCUACACACGUGCUACAAUGGCUGGUACAAAGGGUUGCAAACUCGCGAGAGCAAGCCAAUCUCAAAAAACCAGUCUCAGUUCGGAUAGAAGUCUGCAACUCGACUUCUUGAAGUCGGAAUCGCUAGUAAUCCCGGAUCAGCACGCCGGGGUGAAUACGUUCCCGGGCCUUGUACACACCGCCCGUCACACCAUGGGAGUCAGUUGCUCCAGAAGUGGCUUGCCUAACCGUAAGGAGGGCGGUCCCUAAGGAGUGGCUGGUAACUGGGGUGAAGUCGUAACAAGGUAACCGUAGGGGAACCUGCGGUUGGAUCACCUCCUUUCUGGAGUCUACGAGCUCCUCGGAGCUCGAGACACAAGGUCAAUCCCGGAUUCCCUUCUCUUCUUCGCGGUCAGUUUUGAAGGACCGACCCUCGCCCCCCAAAGGACGUCUCGGGGGAUUAGCUCAGCUGGGAGAGCGCGGGCUUUGCAAGCCUGAGGUCGAGGGUUCGAACCCCUUAUCCUCCACCUUCGCCACCUUGAACGAGCCGGCAGUCCAGGCGAUGGGUGGCGACUUUGACAAUUGAAUAGCAGGACGAAGCGCGAAUAUCGUAUCCACGUGCGUUUUUUCUAAAGACGUGAUGUGCGAGAUUCGCUGAGUCCAAGAUCACCCCCGCCGCAGGUGGGCUCCUUAACGGGACCCCCUGGGGGGUGAGUCAAUCAAUCAAGGUAGACAUUCUCGAAAAGCGAACCUUGGCCUUGACCCCGCAGGGGGGCUGGAAGUUUCAGCUCCCGACAAGCUGGUGGUCAAGCUACUAAGGGCACUCGGUGGAUGCCUUGGCGUCAGGAGGCGAUGAAGGACGUGGUUAGCUGCGAUAAGCUGCGUGGAGCCGCAAGCAGGCGUCGAUACGCGGAUGU
rnacentral:sRNA from 1 species